rnacentral:rRNA from 1 species
UACGUAGGUGGCGAGCGUGUCCGGAUUUAUUGGGCGUAAAGCGCCCGCAGGCGGCUUGAUAAGUUUCAGGUGAAAUCUCCCGGCUUAACUGGGAGGGGUCCUGGAAAACUGUCAGGCUUGAGGCAGAGAGAGGGAUGUGGAAUUCCCGGUGUAGUAGUGAAAUGCAUAGAUAUCGGGAGGAACACCAGUGGCGAAGGCGGCAUCCUGGCUCUGUCCUGACGCUCAGGGGCGAAAGCGUGGGGAGCAACCGG